CGCAGUUAAACCCCAUCGAAGAAGAAGAGUACGUUGUGUUCCAAGUAGCUCUUGGGUAAAAGUAAGCGGUAGCAGACAACAGGAUUCGUGAAAAGGGUGUUGUUGAAUGUUUUCUUGACUUAUAGAUCAGGUUAACUCUUUGCAAAUAAUUUUUCUGAAGUAAGGUCAGCCUACAUGAGACGUUUAUUUGUCACAAUUUAAAUCCUGUUCUGAUAUUUAAUUAGAUGUUUGAUUGCUCUGGUAUAAUCUUUAUCUGAACGCUAUGACAAAGGAAGAACUGUUGCCUACACAUUUCUUGUCAUGUGAAGAAACAGUAGCUUCCUUGAUGGAUUUGGUAAAUUUGGCUGCCUUUUAACAGUAGUGAAUAGCUUAGCUGUAUACAAUUAUACGUUCAGUUAACUUUUAACAUUAUAUCUCUGCUGUGUGGCAUAAAAAGGUGAGUUUGGUUAACUAACAGUAGCCUAUAGCUCUACUGUAUAAAAUGUCUUGGUCUAGAUUUCAUAAUCUUUGAUCUUCCACAGCAAUGCGUUACAUUUGAACAGCUGGACAAAAUAAACCAUGGCGGUAAUUAAAGCUGGACAAAGUAAACCAUGGCGGUAAUUAACUUGUUGGGAUAUUUUGUCCUAAAACAAAGUAACCUUCUAGCCUAUCGCACACAAACCCUUACAAAACAAUGAUUACUGUUUUGAAACUGCAGUAACUGCAGUCGACUGUGGUAUUCUGGACGCAGUAAUUUCAGAAUAACUGCGGUGGACUGCACUGUAACUGCAGUUACACUGCAAAAUUACUGCAGUAAAAAAACGUAUUUUGGACACAGUAUUUGAAACAUACUGCAGUUGCACUCUGAAUGCAAUGUUUUUUUGUAAGGGGAUUAAUACAAGUAAGUCAGUGUGCAACGAGCAGAUAAAGUCAAUACCAUGGAGAAAUAAUUACACCUAGCCUAUGUAACCGAUGUGAAAUGGCUAGCUAGUUAGCGGUGGUGCGUGCUAGCAGCCUUUCAGUCGGUGACGUCACUUGCUCUGAGACCUUGAAGUAGUGGUUCCCCUUGCUCUGCAAGGGCUGCGGCUUUUGUGGAGCGAUGGGUAACGAUGCUUCGUGGGUGACUGUUGUUGAUGUGUGCAGAAGGUCCCUGGUUCGCACCCGGGUCAGGGCGAGGGGACAGACUAAAGUUAAACUGUUACACUAUUAUAGGGCAACAUCUAGCAGACCAGGGUUUAAACCAGAAACCCUGGCAGUUAUGCAAGCAGAGGCCAAAUUAAAGUUUACAGUAGCACUGCCAAUGGCAGAUUUGGUUAAUGUAAUGAAAUGUUGUAUAAUGCACCUUUUUAAAAGAAAAUCACCUUCCAGGGUAAAAACCAGGGAAUCUCAAAACCAAAAAAUAAGUUUUAAGUGAGAAGUAGGCAUUGGUCUGAAGCUGGAAAAAGAAAGGAAAUUCACAAGGUUUGAAUCCUAAGCAACCUGCAUACAAAUUGUUUAAAAUACAAUAGACCAACAAAGCUACUGUAGUAGAGCAAUACUGUGGGCUGUAAAACCUUGGUAGAGCAUGGGUGGAGUAGGCAUUGUGGUGCUCGUGAAUUUCGUGAAUCUUUUUCGGCUUCAGACCAAUACCUACUUCUUACGUCAAACAAUUUUUGUUUUUAACUCUUACUUUAAAAUAGAUGUCUUGACAAGGGAACAUAAGUGUCUUGUCUACUAAAUUGCAUAGCCAUUGUAAAAUAGGCUACAUUAAAGUAGACUCAGCAAAAUGACGCCACAAACAGCAAAUAUUGCAAUGAGUGAGAUGCAAGACUUUGCUGUCACACUGUCACACACAGUAUCUGUGCAUGUGCAAAGGGUAUGCUUCACGCUGUUCCAGCAUGGUUGCCACAGGACCAAAACAGUUGGGAAGUUUAGCCUCACGCUUCAAUGCUCUGGGUAAUUGCGGCAAUUCACCCCCUAGGCUGUUUACUUUGUGCAUCUAGCCUACGUCAUAUCGCAGAGUCUACCUUUAAACUCAGAAUAUGCUAUUCUGUUAUUUUGACUCUUUUGAAUGUUUUUCUUUUACUAAUGUUUCUUAAUUCCUGCCUAAAUAUUUAUUAGACUGUUUGUAUAGGCUACCUCAAGUCCCGGCAGUGUGUCAAGGCCCGUAUCUUGAGAGGGUGGAGCUCCUCGUUGCGGUUCUGCUCCUCGUUCUAGCAUCUCCUAAUCUCUCCUCCUAACACAUAUGAACCCAGAACUUCGUCGAGCGGCUGACCAAUUACGACAGAGAUAGCUCGUCCCCCUCCACCCUGCCGGAGUGCCCGGGUCGUAACUCUCCCAGUAGCUUCGAGAGGGGGACACGAGAAGGAGGGAGAUGGAGAUUUGAUUUCAUCAAGGGACACCCAUAACUGUCGUUCUCUCAGUGGGGGGGACUUAUCAUCUGGGGAGCCUCAACAACAUCAUGAUGCUGACGAGACAGAGAAUAAUCUCUCCCGAUCAGAACAUCUCAAGAAACCCCAGCAGAGACGUACAGGGAAUAAACCUCACUACUACUGCUCUGACUUUGGGAAGAGGUUCACUACACAAAUCUCCUUAAUUCACCAGCGGAGUCACACCGGAGGGAAACCAUACCGCUGCCCUCAAUGUGGGAACUCUUUUGCUGCAUCUAACACCUUAAAAUAUCAUCUAAGAAUCCAUACAGGAGAGAAACUGUACUACUGCUCUCAGUGUGGAAAGACUUUUGCUGCAUUUAACACUUUAAAAUCUCAUCUGAGAAUCCAUACAGGAGAGAAACCGUAUAGCUGCUCUCAGUGUGGGAAGAGUUUCACUUGUCCAGGGGGUCUUAAAGUACACAGAAUAAGCCAUACAGGAGAGAAACCUUACAGAUGCUCACAGUGUGGGAAGAGUUUCACUGCUUCUCACAACUUAAAAUUUCAUCUGAGAAUUCAUACAGGGGAGAAGCCUUACCCCUGCCUUGAUUGUGGGAAAGGUUUUGUUAGUGCAGGAGCCCUAACCAUACACCAGCGUGUACACACUGGAGAGAAGCCUUAUAGCUGUCAUCAGUGUGGAAAGAGCUUUUCUGUUUCAGUGGAGAGUGGAGAGAAACCUUAUAACUGUGAUCAGUGUGGGAAAUGCUUUGCUCGGUCAGGAGAGCUGACUACACACCAGAUAACACACACUGGAGGGAAGCCUUAUAGCUGUGAUCAGUGUGGGAAGAACUUUGCUCUAGCUUCCACCCUGACUACACACCAGUGAACACACACAGGAGAAAAGCCUUACAGCUGUUAUCAUUGUGGGAAGAGCUGUGCUCGAGCUUCCUCCCUGACUAGACACCAUCGAACACACACUGGAGAGAGAACUUAUGUUUGUGUAUGUGGUAAGAGCUUUGCUCUAGCUUCCACCCUGAAUAGACACCAGCGAACACACACUGGAGAGAAGCCUUACAGCUGUGAUCGGUGUGGGAAGAGCUUUGCUCGAGCUUCCUCCCUGAAUAGACACCAGCGAACACACACUGGAGAGAAGCCUUACACCUGUGAUCAGUGUGGGAAGAGCUUUGCUCUAUCAGAACACCUGAAUAGACACCUGCGAACACACACAGGAGAGAAACCUUAUAGCUGUGAUCAGUGUGGGAAGAGCUUUGCUCUAACUGACAGCCUGACUAUACACCAGCGAACACACACUGGAGAGAAGCCUUAUAGCUGUGAUCAGUGUGGGAAGAGAUUCAGUCAAUCAGGGACACUGAAUUCACACCAACGAACACACACUGGAGAGAAACCUUAUGUCUGUCUAUGUGGAAAGAGCUUUUCUCAUUUAGGGCCAAUGAAAAAACACCAGAAAGCAACAAUGUGCCAUAUUUCAUCUCCCUCCUAUCCAGUUCCAGAUCCCUAAAUACAUGUGAAAUAGAAAACAUCUAGUCAACAGUCAUAUCCAUCUACCAUUCUUAAACAGUUGACUUAGUGUUACGAGAAUUUUGUUCUCAAUGUUCUUAAACUGAACUUCCAUUAAACUACUCAGUCUGCAACCCAGAGUUUGUAAGAUUCUGUUUGAAUGAAACAGACAAGAGUCCCAGCUUACAAUAGUCAGAAUGUUUAUUCACGAGAGCGCUCUAAAAUCAAAAAUGCAAACACAGUCUUUAUAACACACACAAACAAGUUAAAAUCUUAAGCAACGCCUUGCUCAGACAGUCAGUGUUUUUCCACUACACAGAUACAGUACAUUGUUUCUUUAAUCUGCAACAUGUUUCAUAAUUUUCUGCAAGCCUAACAGUUUCUUCCCUCCACGGGUGGAGACAGAAUGUCCUGUAAGGAACACAGUAGUACAGCUUGUCUGUCGAUAGCUCCUCUUAUCAUUUGUUUCCAACUUGCACCCUGCUUACAUACUAAAAAGGAACAAAAGGUCCUUGUUCUAAUUCUGACUAAAACUAGACACAUCAUCAGAUUAUAGUUUUAUGAUUCUAAUAAAUGUCAUACAAUUAUAUGGUUUCAGGGUGGAAUAUUUUAAUCAUUACUAUUAAGCAUAUAAUUCCCUUAUCACUUAGUCUUAUCACCAUGGUAACCUCUGUGCAGCAUAAUAUGCAGCUCUGAUCUAGGACCAGGUCUCCCCUGUGUCUAUGUAAUAUCUGUCACGACUUCCGCCGAAGUUGGCUCCCCUGCCUGUUUGGGCAGUGCUCGGCGGUCGUCGUCACCGGCCUACUAGCCGCCACCCAUCCCUUUUUCCGUUUUCUGUUUGUUUUUUCUUAUUAGUUGCACCUGUGUCUAUUUGUGUUUGCCUGAUGGGCUUCCUUAUUUAAAGCCAGUAUACCCACCCUUGUUUUGUGUGGGAUUAUUCUUAUGUUACGUGUUUGUGUUGUUGGGUGUGUUCGUGCUCCGGACCGGGUACCCUGUGUUUUGGGUUGGUCCAUAUUUUUUGCGCCCUGUGUUUUGGGCAUUGCUUUUGGUGCCAUAUUAAAGUGCACUUCUCCCUAUGGAA